rnacentral:rRNA from 1 species
AUUGAACGCUGGCGGCAGGCUUAACACAUGCAAGUCGAGCGGAGAUGAGGUGCUUGCACCUUAUCUUAGUGGCGGACGGGUGAGUAAUGCUUAGGAAUCUGCCUAUUAGUGGGGGACAACAUUCCGAAAGGAAUGCUAAUACCGCAUACGUCCUACGGGAGAAAGCAGGGGAUCUUCGGACCUUGCGCUAAUAGAUGAGCCGAAGUCGGAUUAGCUAGCUGGUGGGGUAAAGGCCUACCAAGGCGACGAUCUGUAGCGGGUCUGAGAGGAUGAUCCGCCACACUGGGACUGAGACACGGCCCAGACUCCUACGGGAGGCAGCAGUGGGGAAUAUUGGACAAUGGGGGGAACCCUGAUCCAGCCAUGCCGCGUGUGUGAAGAAGGCCUUAUGGUUGUAAAGCACUUUAAGCGAGGAGGAGGCUACUGAGACUAAUACUCUUGGAUAGUGGACGUUACUCGCAGAAUAAGCACCGGCUAACUCUGUGCCAGCAGCCGCAGUAA